rnacentral:rRNA from 1 species
UUGAACGCUGGCGGCAUGCCUUACACAUGCAAGUCGAACGGUAACAGGUCUUCGGAUGCUGACGAGUGGCGAACGGGUGAGUAAUACAUCGGAACGUGCCCGAGAGUGGGGGAUAACGGAGCGAAAGCUUUGCUAAUACCGCAUACGAUCUACGGAUGAAAGCAGGGGACCGCAAGGCCUUGCGCUCAUGGAGCGGCCGAUGGCAGAUUAGGUAGUUGGUGGGAUAAAAGCUUACCAAGCCGACGAUCUGUAGCUGGUCUGAGAGGACGACCAGCCACACUGGGACUGAGACACGGCCCAGACUCCUACGGGAGGCAGCAGUGGGGAAUUUUGGACAAUGGGCGCAAGCCUGAUCCAGCCAUGCCGCGUGCAGGAUGAAGGCCUUCGGGUUGUAAACUGCUUUUGUACGGAACGAAAAGACUCCUUCUAAUAAAGGGGGUCCAUGACGGUACCGUAAGAAUAAGCACCGGCUAACUACGUGCCAGCAGCCGCGGUAAUACGUAGGGUGCAAGCGUUAAUCGGAAUUACUGGGCGUAAAGCGUGCGCAGGCGGUUAUAUAA